rnacentral:tRNA from 1 species
GGGCCGCUAGCUCAAUCGGUAGAGCAAGAGCCUUUUAAGCUCGUGGUUCUGGGUUCGAGUCCCAGGCGGCCCA